AUUCUGGGCGUAGAACGGAAGAGAAGAUUGGCAAUAAACUCUCCGCCACUCUUUUUAAUGACCUGACUAAGAAAUGUGUAAAAAUAUAAAUUGCUGUGACAAUCUAGAGAGGUUAAAACCUAGGCAACUAUUUCGUUUGAUCUGAAAUUUACCGCGAAUGUAUAUUAUGUAAAAUUAUUAGGUGUAAUGUAAAAGUACCAAAUGAUAUGUUUUUAUGGAAAUUUUGGAAAUAUUUACUUAAAUAUUAACAAUAAGGUAAGUUCUAAUGUAAUAUAAUCUUGGUUAAAAAUAUAAUAUUAAUACGAAGGAAUCAGUCCACCAUUUUGGGAAUUGAUUACGUCAUUUGAACGUCGCUUCGAGGGGCGUCUAUAAAUUACGUGAGAGGGGGGAGGGGGGUCGAGUCAAAUCUCAUUUAAUCUUACCCUGGGGGGUCUCGGCAUACUGCAAUUUUUUUCUGAUUGAAAAAAAAAUUUGGAAAACGGUUGACCUUAAAAUAGAAAAUUAAAAAGAAACGUGUGGCAUUCGGGGACUGCCGCGAUAAAGCUAUUGCAUAGCAUUAUUUAUCAACCUAUGCAAUUAUAAUUAUUUAUUUAUUUUUUAUUUAUGCAGUAUUUUUUUUCUUUGACAUUAAUUCAAUCUACCAGACUCAGACUAACAAGCCUAUAUAGUCUGUCUCGUGUCUAAAAAGUAUCACCGCUGUGCCGGUUGCAGUGGGGGGUGUUAGGUUUUUUUCGUUACGGAAUUUCUGGAUUCGGUCCCCACGCUCAAGGCCCGCGAUAAAAUCUAUGCAAUAGCUUAAAAACACCUCACGCAAUUUAUGGACGCCCCCUAAAAAUAGAUAUAAUUUUUAAACCUGUAUAAUAAAAAUAAUAUAACGUUUCGCGCGUUUUUACAUUUACACAAACUUUUUCUUUUUCACAUAGAUACAAUGUUGAUAGCCAGUAUCAUUUUAUACAGCGUUCGAUACUCUAUGGUGAUUGAAAAUUUAUCCACAUUCCAAAUUUAAAUCACAUGAUUUCUUGGGACGCACUGCUAGAAAAACAAACUCUUUGAAUAGAUGUGAUAAAAAAUGUGAAUGUUAGAUGGUAAGAGAAGCCAUGUUAGGUAUUUUACUGAGUACAUACAAACUUUACACAAUCACACCUUUUUGUAUCAAAACAUCUGCAUCGUUGCGCACGAAGAAAUUCUGGUAAAAAUAGUUGAUUCAGUUAGUUAUUAGUAAAAUAGGUCUGUAUAAUGUUUACAUUUUAUACUUUUUAGUAAUUUUAGUACGAUGUCUAUGCCGGGUGCUAAAAUCUACUUUUUUCAUUUUUUUUUAAUUUUGUAUCUUGUGCCCGUGUCUUUUAAGCAGCUGUCUUAAUUAAUUUAGAGUUAUUUACCCAUUACCAACAAUUUACAUUUGUUAUAUUUUGUAAUAUUCUUAAUGUUUAAACACAAGAAAAAUGUCCAUUUACAUAAUUAUAUUCUACGAAAUAACACUCUAUAAUAUACGGCCUAUAUCCGUGGCCUUGAAGUAACUGAGGUUCGCUUCUCAUAAAAAAGAGGUUUUAGAUUUGAGAAUUCAAAAUUUACGACCAAUUUCGAAUUUAAAUAAUUUAUGUCUUUGAUAUUUUGUAUUUUACACUAUUGUAUACAUAUCUCUAAUAUUGUGAUCAAUAUAUGUUUAUAAGAA